rnacentral:rRNA from 1 species
UGAGGAAUAUUGGUCAAUGGGCGAGAGCCUGAACCAGCCAAGUCGCGUGAAGGAAGACUGCCCGCAAGGGUUGUAAACUUCUUUUGUAUGGGAUUAAAGUCACCUACGUGUAGGUGUUUGCAGUUACCAUACGAAUAAGCAUCGGCUAACUCCGUGCCAGCAGCCGCGGUAAUACGGAGGAUGCGAGCGUUAUCCGGAAUUAUUGGGUUUAAAGGGUGCGCAGGUGGCUAAUCAGGUCAGUGGUGAAAAGCUAUGGCUCAACCAUGGUCUUGCCAUUGAAACCGUAUAGCUAGAGAGGAGACGAGGUAGGCGGAAUGUGUGGUGUAGCGGUGAAAUGCAUAGAUAUCACACAGAACUCCGAUUGCGAAGGCAGCUUACCAGGCUUUAUCUGACACUUAGGCACGACAGCGUGGGGAUCAAACAGG